CUGUAGGCGGUUUAGAAAGUCUUUUGUGAAAUACUUCAGCUCAACUGAGGCUCCGCAAAAGAAACUUCUAGACUUGAGGAAAGUAGAGGUACAGGGAAUUUCCGGUGGAGCGGUGAAAUGCGUAGAUAUCGGAAGGAACACCAAUAUGGCAAAGGCACUGUACUGGGCUUUUCCUGACGCUCAGAGACGAAAGCUGAAGGAGUGAUUAGGAUUAGAUACCCUAGUAAUUUCAGCCGUAAACGAUGAAAACUCACUGUCGAGCCAAUAUAUGGAGCGGUGGUCAAGCUAACGCGUGAAGUUUUCCGCCUGGGGAUUACGCUUGCAAAAGUGAAACUCAAAGGAAUUGACGGGGACCCGCACAAGCGGUGGAGUAUGUGGUUUAAUUCGAUGCAACGCGAAAAACCUUACCAGGGUUUGAAAUAACUUCAAAACUUCUUGAAAGAGAAGCCUCCUUCGGGAUGGAAUUACAGGUGGUGCAUGGCUGUCGUCAGCUCGUGUUGUGAAAUGUCAAGUUAAGUCUUGUAACGAGCGCAACCCAUGUCUCUUGUUGCUGUUUUACAGUGCUUAAGAGAAACUGCCGAUCAACAUCGGAGGAAGGUGUGGAUGAUGUCAAGUCAGCAUGCCCCUUACAUCCUGGGCUACACACGUACUACAAUGGUCGAGACAA
rnacentral:rRNA from 1 species